UUGGAUUAAUACCUCAUAGCAUAGCAGCUUCGCAUGAAGCCGCUAUUAAAGUCACAACGGUAAAAGAUGAGCAUGCGUCCCAUUAGCUAGUUGGUAAGGUAACGGCUUACCAAGGCUACGAUGGGUAGGGGUCCUGAGAGGGAGAUCCCCCACACUGGUACUGAGACACGGACCAGACUCCUACGGGAGGCAGCAGUGAGGAAUAUUGGACAAUGGGCGCAAGCCUGAUCCAGCCAUGCCGCGUGCAGGAUGACGGUCCUAUGGAUUGUAAACUGCUUUUAUACGAGAAGAAACACUCCAACGUGUUGGAGCUUGACGGUAUCGUAAGAAUAAGGAUCGGCUAACUCCGUGCCAGCAGCCGCGGUAAUACGGAGGAUCCAAGCGUUAUCCGGAAUCAUUGGGUUUAAAGGGUCCGUAGGCGGUUUAAUAAGUCAGUGGUGAAAGCCCAUCGCUCAACGGUGGAACGGCCAUUGAUACUGUUAAACUUGAAUUAUUAGGAAGUAACUAGAAUAUGUAGUGUAGCGGUGAAAUGCUUAGAGAUUACAUGGAAUACCAAUUGCGAAGGCAGGUUACUACUAAUUGAUUGACGCUGAUGGACGAAAGCGUGGGUAGCGAACAGGAUUAGAUACCCUGGUAGUCCACGCCGUAAACGAUGGAUACUAGCUGUUGGGAGCAAUCUCAGUGGCUAAGCGAAAGUGAUAAGUAUCCCACCUGGGGAGUACGUUCGCAAGAAUGAAACUCAAAGGAAUUGACGGGGGCCCGCACAAGCGGUGGAGCAUGUGGUUUAAUUCGAUGAUACGCGAGGAACCUUACCAAGGCUUAAAUGUAGAUUGACCGAUUUGGAAACAGAUCUUUCGCAAGACAAUUUACAAGGUGCUGCAUGGUUGUCGUCAGCCCGUGCCGUGAGGUGUCAGGUUAAGUCCUAUAACGAGCGCAACCCCUGUUGUUAGUUGCCAGCGAGUCAAGUCGGGAACUCUAACAAGACUGCCAGUGCAAACUGUGAGGAAGGUGGGGAUGACGUCAAAUCAUCACGGCCCUUACGCCUUGGGCUACACACGUGCUACAAUGGCCGGUACAGAGAGCAGCCACUGGGCGACCAGGAGCGAAUCUAUAAAACCGGUCACAGUUCGGAUCGGAGUCUGCAACUCGACUCCGUGAAGCUGAAUCGCUAGUAAUCGGAUAUCAGCCAUGAUCCGGUGAAUACGUUCCCGGGCCUUGUACACACCGCCCGUCAAGCCAUGGAAGCUGGGGGUGCCUGAAGUCGGUGACCGCAAGGAGCUGCCUAGGGUAAAACUGGUAACUAGGGCUAAGUCGUAACAAGGUA
rnacentral:rRNA from 1 species